CUCGUGCAGAGGAGUUGAUCCAGUUCUCCUCGUCGACCGACAAGCAUACCGCACCCCGUCGGACGCCGGCCACCGUUGACAGCCCAGCGUGACUGUUGCCGGGCAAGCAGUGAAGAAGGUUCGAACCUAGGGCUUCUUCUACUUCAAAAUCCGGAGCUGUUGAUUAUUAAUUUUAAUCUAUGGAUGACAACGCAGAAAAUAACAGCAUGAAGAAAAUGACGUCACCAUGUGAUGUUGAAGCUCUGAAAAAAUGCCUGGAGGAGAACAAGGGGGACCAUGUCAAAUGCCAAACGCAAAUAGAGGCUUUCAAAUCCUCAUGUUCAUUGAGGAAACCAAAUUCAUCUCUUGACUCUUCCCCAUCUCUCAAGACAGGUGGUUGAUGUUCAAGUAACAUGGCCUUGAACUUGAAUUGUAACUUUUUGGCCAAAAAGAAAAAAGAACUUGAAUUGCAACUUAGGGGGAUUUUCCAUUUCUUGAAAGGGAAAUAUAUCUUAGACUUUGCAUUGUUUUAGGAUGAGAAUCAAAACUGAGCCCAAUGUUUCACUGCUGUCACUAUGCUUUUGUGGCAGUAAAAUUGCCAGCCUGAUACCUACCCUGUUUCUGCUUCCAUGUAAAUAAAGUUAUAUCAAUUGUUUUAUUUUUGUGAAAAUUGCAUGUUUGCACUUUGCAGUGUUGAUCUCACAGAAAAUUGACAUGAUUGAACAUGUUUUUACUUGAA